UUUGUGCCUCUAGUGCUGUUGUGUCUUAACUGAAAUCUGUAAACUUGUAUCACAGGUCUGAUGUCAGUUUAUAAGGGGAUGAAAAGUUUAAUUGGGUAAAAAAAAAAUAUUAUAGCAAAGCACUUUCUGUUAUACCAGCAAACCAGGUUGCUCUUGAAAUUAGCGAUGGAGAAACGAGGACUCUUGAAUCUUUGAAGCUUUUCGCCAUAGGCUUAUAUAAAAAAAAAUCUUAGUAAAUGUAAUUGAACCUCAAUAACCAGUAGAGAACUGGUCUGGGUUCAAAUAUUCUGACACGCAAGUGGUGCUUUUUCACUGCAUGGUACGAUUCGGCUCGGCUCGCUUGCUUUUCCACUGCAAUUAGUGGGUGGGAUUAUAGACUAGUUGGUCUGCCAUCAAGAGCAAUGGAGCCUAUCGAUGGAAUGGUGUUCUUGAUUCUCAGCAUGUGGAUGUUUUUCACUGCAAGACGAAGAAGUUUGUUUCAAAGGAGGCUGAUGGCAACAAAGCAAAAUGCAAGAGAGUCUGGGAACUUGUACAGCAAAGCGUAGACGGCAACAUCACUUGGUUUGCACUAUGGUGUGCGAGGAUCUAUCAUAUUUUGCAAAGUCACCCCACCACAGACCAUCUCGCUGGACAUUUAACCGAGCUUAACCGAGUGGUAGGAUGUGAUUGUCCCCGGUUUUAGAAUGUCCAAUGAAACGCUUACCUACUUGUGCAACAACCUGCGUCCAGCGAUGGAGAGACGGGACACAAACUUCUCUGUGUGUGUGUACCUUUAAAGAAGAGAGUAGCCAUCGCACUGUGGAAGCUUGCAACCGGCUACAGAAGUGUUGGACAUCUUUUUGGAAUCAGGAGAAGUUUCAAGAAAAGGCUGCCCACAACAGAUGAGGGCUCCCACAGUGUAUUGGUGCUAUUGAUGGAUCACACAUACCCAUCAUAGCACCACAGGACUAUCGCUGACUGUUUCAACCAUAAAGGCUGGCACUCCAUCAUCCUUCAAGGUAUUGUAGAUGGAAAGGGACUUUUCUGGAAUGUUUUCACAGGACUGCCUGGAAGCCUGCAUGAUGCUUGGGUUUUGACACUGUCCAGACUAUGGGGAACCACAUACACCAGAAACAUUGGGGUGAAUGUUGGCUACUACAUCCUAGGCGACUCUGCCUAUCCCUUGCAGAAUUGGCUCUUAAAACCAUUCGUUGACACUUAACUUGACAGCAGAACAGCAGGUCUACAACAUGAAAAUCUGCAGAGCACGUGAAGUGGUUGACAAUGCUUUUGGAAGAUUAAAAGGAAGAUGGCGUUGCCUUAUGAAAAGAAAUGACUGUGCGGUCAACCUUGUGAAAUCUAUGGUGCUGACAUGCUGUGCUCUACAUAACCAUUUUGAGAGAAUGCAUGGGAUUCACCUUCAGCAGCGAAGCCUGUGGUGGCACUGGCACAGGCUGUAGAGGAUGAGGGCAGGGAUGUACGUGAGGGUCUGAUGCGUUACUUGAAUGGUUAACUAUUCAUAUAGCCUCAAACGAGGUGGUACUAUUUAAGCGAGCCAUACCUUGAAGUGGAAAAGCACCAAAGCGAGACGUACCAUACAGUGGAAAAGCUCCAAAAGUGAAGCAUUCUCAUGAUUGGUAAGAAAGUGAGGCUUCGUUUUUCGUUGAUCGUGUGUGUAAGAAUUACAGAACCUCAGACACUUUGAUCUUCUGAGACAGACAAUACACACACAGUGCAUUAACAUACAGACAUCUGUCUCCACAUCUGAGAGAAAAUGCGGGAAAAUGUCUCUCACAUAUGCAUUGGUUCCUCCUCAUCCCCUUCCUUCACCUCACCCAUCCUUCUCUUCA